GCGCCAUUAGCUCAGUUGGUAGAGCAUCUGACUCUUAAUCAGGUGGUCACAGGUUCGAAUCCUGUAUGACGCACCA
rnacentral:tRNA from 1 species